GGCAUGGUAGCCAAGUGGCUUAGGCAACGGUUUGCAAAACCGUUUACGUGGGUUCAAUUCCCACCCAUGCCU
rnacentral:tRNA from 3 species